rnacentral:rRNA from 1 species
UGGGGAAUUUUGGACGAAUUGGGCGAAAGCCUGAUCCAGCAAUGCCGCGUGUGUGAAGAAGGCCUUCGGGUUGUAAAGCACUUUUGUCCGGAAAGAAAUCCUUGGCUCUAAUACAGUCGGGGGAUGACGGUACCGGAAGAAUAAGCACCGGCUAACUACGUGCCAGCAGCCGCGGUAAUACGUAGGGUGCAAGCGUUAAUCGGAAUUACUGGGCGUAAAGCGUGCGCAGGCGGUUUGCUAAGACCGAUGUGAAAUCCCCGGGCUCAACCUGGGAACUGCAUUGGUGACUGGCAGGCUAGAGUAUGGCAGAGGGGGGUAGAAUUCCACGUGUAGCAGUGAAAUGCGUAGAGAUGUGGAGGAAUACCGAUGGCGAAGGCAGCCCCCUGGGCCAAGUACUGACGCUCAUGCACGAAAA